rnacentral:rRNA from 1 species
UGGGGAAUAUUGCGCAAUGGGCGAAAGCCUGACGCAGCAACGCCGCGUGGAGGAUGAAGGCUUUCGGGUUGUAAACUCCUUUCAGCAGGGACGAAACUGACGGUACCUGCAGAAGAAGCCCCGGCUAACUACGUGCCAGCAGCCGCGGUGAGACGUAGGGGGCAAGCGUUGUCCGGAUUUAUUGGGCGUAAAGAGCUCGUAGGCGGCUUGGCAAGUCGGGAUGUGAAAUCUCCAGGCUUAACCUGGAGUCGCCAUCCGAUACUGCUAUGGCUAGAGUCCGGUAGAGGAUCGUGGAAUUCCUGGUGUAGCGGUGAAAUGCGCAGAUAUCAGGAGGAACACCAACGGCGAAGGCAGCGAUCUGGGCCGGUACUGACGCUGAGGAGCGAAAGCGUGGGGAGCGAACAGG